GUUUCUUUUAUACCUCCUUAACUCUAUAUAAUGCAAUUGCAAACUUUAUCCCGAUAUCAAUAAUAAAUCUCUAUUUGGACGUAGAUGUAGCACAAUUACAAUAAUCGUGUGAAACAUUCUCUCAAAAUCUCUUUGGAGUCGGAUAAUUGACUCAGUUCCUUGAUCAUGUGGGGGAGUUCAUGGCAAGUUCCAAAAAAAAUUGUAUAUAAAUCCAUUCUUGUUUUGGGUUACAAUAGGAAGAAUAUAUAUGUUACGAAGAAUGUUAACGUUCUGUCUUGGAAAGUUUCUCUUGUCGGGUUUCUACCUGAAUAAAUUUGUCCAAUAGGGAUAUUGUUGUAUUGAUAUGAAAACAAUUAUGUGUUCGGUUUGUCGAACACUAUUAAGGUCUA